UUUUAGUUCUUUCCAAUCUUUAUGAGUUAUAUUGAAAAAGAAGAAACAUUACACUGCAAGACAACUGCUCAAUAUAUAAGACACACAAGUAUUUAUUUUUCUCACUGUAUAAUUCACAAGGUUUACAUACAAAAGUGAUCUCCUUCCCAGUGCCUAGUUGCAACCUAGUGAGUAAUGGCUACUGUUAAAACUUCCAAGAGACUAGGAAAUUGUCUAUGUUUGAGAAAGAACUUACUUGGGUAAGUGUGUUACACUUGCAACUAGUGGUUACAGGGACUUUGGUGGUCUGGAAGCACCAGCACAUUAUUACAUGUUACAACAAUGACAUACAGAUAUUACAGAAUCAAAAAUGACAAACUUUUGAUUGGAAAAGAAAAUGUUUGUGAUUUAAAGUCAGGAUGACCCUCAAUGUAAGUACUGCACAUGUUAAAGCAGGCCAACUAUUCUUCAUCUUCAGAAGAGUGAUAAAACUCGUUUUGGAGACGUCAAGCUUGCCACGCACUUGAACUUCUCUUGUCUAUACUUUUCACGUAUAGCAUUUAGGGAGCAACCAUUAGUGUUCAGCUGCAAAUCUUCAAGUGCAAGUACUGUAGUUUUCAGUUCUGAUGGGCUGUAACUUGUAUAGUGCUCUAGAGUUGGACCCCAUGGGUGGUCUGACUGAUCGAGAGUCCACCGAGCAAGGAACACUGAAGAUGCAGCUAUAAGAGAAGGUAGAAACUUUUGGAAGUCAUAUUCAACAAGAGUAAGCUCUGCCAAAUAAUUUGCCAGGAACUCCAGUUCAAUACAAGGAACCUUCAAAGAUGCUUGUGCUGCUUGAAUGAAUCUCCUCAGAAAUGUUUUUGUGGUGGGAACAGAGAUUUGGAAGUACAAGAAAUUCAGAACAUGACUCUCCAUUUUCAAUACCUCUCUUCUUGUGUAAGUAUUGUCAGUGAUGAAGCAAAAUUCUUCAACUCUUGGUGCACAAAUUUCUUCAUACUUUGAAGCAAUUAGCAUGCAAGUAACGCCAAGCAAUUGGAGCCUUUGUUUCUCAAUAUAAUUUUCAGAGAGGAAUCUAUCAAUGAGAUUAACCGUAAGGUAAAGUGUAUCUGGAACAAGUCUAUACUCUUCAGAAACCUCCACAAGCCAAUCAAUCAAAAUUCCUCGCAUGCUUGGAGUGAUAUCAUGCUGCAUUUUUUCCAUGUAAUUGGUCAAAGGUCUAUGGUCAAGCUCUUUAGCCCGUAUGUUGUUAUAUAUUUCAGGGGCAUACAUGCCACAGACUUGAGGAUCUUUUAGAUUUGAAUCAAUGUCCACUAUGCCUGAACCACUUGAGGGGUCCAGCUUCUUGCAAAACCAUUUUUCUUCUUUCUUUUGAGGGAUUCGGAGUCCAGCAGGUUUUGUGAGAGCCAGCAUUGGAAGCACUGGAUCUGCUACAACACCUUCUCUUGCACCACGGUACGUUCUUUGCUGUUUUCCUUCUGUCUUUGUUGGUAAAGUGAUCUCCCGUGCUUCCACCAUUCUUAUUUUUGACAAUUCUUCAGCUAACUUAGCUUUUACAUCCUCUUCACCCUCUGCAAUUUCCAUAGAGAUAUCAGCAGCUACCUCUGCAUUCUUCUUUGUGGGGCAUUUUCUUGCCUGCUUGCUAGUCUGAUCUUUAGUUCCAUUGAUGCAAUUUGCAUAAGAAUUCUCACGAGUUAAAUUAGUCACAUCUUUAAGCACUGCCCUUCUCUUGCACUGAAGGCCAGAAAUCACAGUAACAGAAGCUUUGUUAUCAUCUGAUGCUGUUCUUUUGGUAUUGGCUCUAAGAACACACUUCUGGUCCUUUUUGAAAGAAGGUUUUGAGGCAGGAAGUAAAGUCUCCAAGGCUUUAGCCCGUGCACGAGUCAUUCGAGUACUGGGCUCUUCAACUUUGGCAGCAACUUUAUUUUCUAUAUUCAUAUUUGCUUGCCUUCAGGAAGAGCACUGCAUGAUUCUAAAUUGAAUACCUCUUCAUUGAACUGUGUUCUUGGAAGCUCCUGGGACUUAUCAGUGACAGUCUAGAGAGCUCUACAGACAGUACAGAGAGAAAGGGUGUGAGGGAGAGAGAGAGAGACCGCUUUUAG
rnacentral:misc_RNA from 1 species